UACGGAGGGUGCAAGCGUUAUCCGGAUUCACUGGGUUUAAAGGGUGCGUAGGCGGGCAGGUAAGUCCGUGGUGAAAUCUCUGAGCUUAACUCAGAAACUGCCAUGGAUACUAUUUGUCUUGAAUAUUGUGGAGGUAAGCGGAAUAUGUCAUGUAGCGGCGAAAUGCUUAGAUAUGACAUAGAACACCAAUUGCGAAGGCAGCUUACUACACAGUUAUUGACGCUGAGGCACGAAAGCGUGGGGAUCAAACAGG
rnacentral:rRNA from 1 species